rnacentral:rRNA from 1 species
UACGUAGGGGGCUAGCGUUGUCCGGAAUCAUUGGGCGUAAAGCGCGCGUAGGCGGCCCGGUAAGUCCGCUGUGAAAGUCGGGGGCUCAACCCUCGAAUGCCGGUGGAUACUGUCGGGCUAGAGUACGGAAGAGGCGAGUGGAAUUCCUGGUGUAGCGGUGAAAUGCGCAGAUAUCAGGAGGAACACCCAUUGCGAAGGCAGCUCGCUGGGACGUUACUGACGCUGAGACGCGAAAGCGUGGGGAGCGAACAGG